rnacentral:rRNA from 1 species
UACAGAGGGUGCAAGCGUUGUUCGGAAUUACUGGGCGUAAAGCGCACGUAGGCGGCUAUUCAAGUCAGAGGUGAAAGCCUGGAGCUCAACUCCAGAACUGCCUUUGAAACUAGAUAGCUUGAAUCCAGGAGAGGUGAGUGGAAUUCCGAGUGUAGAGGUGAAAUUCGUAGAUAUUCGGAAGAACACCAGUGGCGAAGGCGGCUCACUGGACUGGUAUUGACGCUGAGGUGCGAGAGCGUGGGGAGCAAACGAGG